rnacentral:rRNA from 1 species
AACGAACGCUGGCGGCAGGCUUAACACAUGCAAGUCGAACGCAUCGCAAGAUGAGUGGCAGACGGGUGAGUAACGCGUGGGAACAUACCCUUUUCUACGGAAUAGCUCUGGGAAACUGGAAUUAAUACCGUAUACGCCCUACGGGGGAAAGAUUUAUCGGGGAAGGAUUGGCCCGCGUUGGAUUAGCUAGUUGGUGGGGUAAAGGCCUACCAAGGCGACGAUCCAUAGCUGGUCUGAGAGGAUGAUCAGCCACAUUGGGACUGAGACACGGCCCAAACUCCUACGGGAGGCAGCAGUGGGGAAUAUUGGACAAUGGGCGCAAGCCUGAUCCAGCCAUGCCGCGUGAGUGACGAAGGCCUUAGGGUUGUAAAGCUCUUUCACCGAUGAAGAUAAUGACGGUAGUCGGAGAAGAAGCCCCGGCUAACUACGUGCCAGCCGCCGCCGUAAGAC